ACUCCUACGGGAGGCAGCAGUGAGGAAUAUUGGUCAAUGGGCGCGAGCCUGAACCAGCCACGUCGCGUGAAGGAUGACGGCCUUAUGGGUUGUAAACUUCUUUUACAGGGGAAUAAAGUGAGUCACGUGUGAUUUUUUGCAUGUACCCUGUGAAUAAGCAUCGGCUAACUCCGUGCCAGCAGCCGCGGUAAUACGGAGGAUGCGAGCGUUAUCCGGAUUUAUUGGGUUUAAAGGGUGCGUAGGCGGGAUAUUAAGUCAGCGGUGAAAGUUUUCGGCUUAACCUUAAAAUUGCCGUUAAAACUGUUAUUCUUGAGUGCAGUAGAGGUAGGCGGAAUUCGUUGUGUAGCGGUGAAAUGCGUAGAUAUAACGAGGAACUCCGAUUGCGUAGGCAGCUUACUAUAUUGCUACUGACGCUGAGGCACGAAAGUGUGGGUAUCAAACAGGAUUAGAUACCCUGGUAGUC
rnacentral:rRNA from 1 species